GAUGAACGCUGGCGGCGUGCCUAAUACAUGCAAGUCGAGCGAACAGACGAGGAGCUUGCUCCUCUGACGUUAGCGGCGGACGGGUGAGUAACACGUGGAUAACCUACCUAUAAGACUGGGCUAACUUCGGGAAACCGGAGCUAAUACCGGAUAAUAUAUUGAACCGCAUGGUUCAAUAGUGAAAGACGGUUUUGCUGUCACUUAUAGAUGGAUCCGCGCCGCAUUAGCUAGUUGGUAAGGUAACGGCUUACCAAGGCAACGAUGCGUAGCCGACCUGAGAGGGUGAUCGGCCACACUGGAACUGAGACACGGUCCAGACUCCUACGGGAGGCAGCAGUAGGGAAUCUUCCGCAAUGGGCGAAAGCCUGACGGAGCAACGCCGCGUGAGUGAUGAAGGUCUUCGGAUCGUAAAACUCUGUUAUUAGGGAAGAACAAAUGUGUAAGUAACUAUGCACGUCUUGACGGUACCUGAUCAGAAAGCCACGGCUAACUACGUG
rnacentral:rRNA from 1 species